UACGUAGGGUGCGAGCGUUAAUCGGAAUUACUGGGCGUAAAGCGUGCGCAGGCGGUUUUGUAAGCCAGAUGUGAAAUCCCCGGGCUUAACCUGGGAAUGGCAUUUGGGACUGCAAGGCUGGAGUGCGGCAGAGGAGACUGGAAUUCCUGGUGUAGCAGUGAAAUGCGUAGAUAUCAGGAGGAAUACCGAUGGCGAAGGCAGGUCUCUGGGCUGACACUGACGCUCAUGCACGAAAGCGUGGGGAGCAACAGGAUUAGAACCCUUGUGAGA
rnacentral:rRNA from 1 species